GUGUGGCGCAUUUCAGUAGGGCCCCACACUUGGCGUACUCUGUCGCGCACACCCGUCCGCCGCGAAUACACCGUGACUACGCUGCUCCCUCGAACUCGUAUUCAUCUUCGUACUGACCACCCUCAACGACCGUCGCCACCGAUUUCGUAAAAAUAUUUUCAUUUCUUCUCGAAUUUUCGUCGUUUGAUUUUCCAUUAAUUUUACAAUAAUUUUUUUUUUCCGUUUGUUUUAAAUUUUUUCAAGCUCGUGUCACAUAUUGUACUAUAAAAAUAAUAUCAUCAUCACCUAAUAUAAUAAUAUUAUAAUAUAGUGUUUCGACCGAAACCGUACGGCCACGCCGCCGUCAAUAUCCGGAUCGGACCGCAGAUAUGUGGCCGAAAUUUGCAUUUCUUGGACUUGUGAUCAUCCGGUUAAUGGUGUCUGCGAAUCCGGAUGCAAAGAGAUUGUACGAUGAUCUCUUGUCCAGCUACAACAAGCUCGUCAGACCCGUGGUGAAUACUAGCGAUGUUCUCCGUGUAUCUAUAAAGUUGAAACUGUCACAGCUUAUCGAUGUGAACUUGAAAAAUCAGAUAAUGACCACCAAUUUGUGGGUAGAGCAGGCGUGGAAUGAUUACAAAUUACAAUGGGACCCGAAAGAGUACGGCGGCGUGCAAAUGCUCCACGUGCCUUCUGAUCAUAUUUGGCGGCCGGAUAUCGUGCUCUACAACAAUGCGGACGGUAACUACGAGGUGACCCUUAUGACAAAGGCGACGGUUUACUGUACGGGGCUUGUAUUAUGGCAGCCACCCGCCGUCUAUAAGUCCUCGUGCUCCAUCGACGUCGAGUUCUUCCCCUAUGACGUCCAAACUUGCGUACUGAAACUAGGAAGUUGGACGUAUGACGGGUUCAAGGUAGACUUGAGACACAUGGACGAAAAGGUCGGUUCGAACAUCGUCGACGUCGGAGUGGAUCUCUCAGAAUUUUACAUGUCGGUCGAAUGGGAUAUACUGGAAGUACCAGCGGUCAGGAACGAAAAGAUCUACCCGUGUUGCGACGAACCGUAUUUAGACAUAACGUUUAACAUCACCAUGAGGAGGAAAACGCUUUUCUAUACAGUAAACAUCAUCAUACCGUGCAUGGGAAUCUCGUUCCUCACAGUUUUGACGUUUUACUUGCCAUCGGACAGCGGUGAAAAAGUGACGUUGUCUAUAUCAAUUUUGAUUAGUCUUCACGUUUUUUUCUUGCUGGUUGUCGAAAUUAUACCUCCAACGUCAUUAGUAGUUCCAUUACUAGGAAAAUACCUGAUAUUUGCUAUGAUACUGGUUUCAAUAAGCAUUUGUGUUACUGUUGUCGUAUUGAACGUUCAUUUCCGAUCACCUCAGACGCACAAAAUGGCUCCUUGGGUAAAAAGAGUGUUCAUCCAUAUACUGCCAAGACUUUUAGUCAUGCGAAGACCUCAAUACCAAUUCGAACCAAAUAAAUUCAACGCCGGUUCGAUAAUGCUGAAGGGCAGAGACAUACAUCCAUGUUUCUUCCAGGCUGGCUGUGGUUACGACAGCACAGAAGCCGGUAAAGAUAAAGGUCGCCGACAAACAGAUGACAGUAGCGUGUCGAAAGGCACCAGAGAAACGUCCAAAGAAGACUUAUCCAGUGAUGGAGAAGGAGGUAGCUGUCAGGUACACGGAGUGGCGCAGAGUCUGAUGUCCGAUGAGAUAUCAGUCACCGAAAUGACAACAGAUUGCAGUAAGAGCUCUAUUCUGCUUAGGAGCCCCGGAUUUCUGCACUCGUCCUGUCCUCCAGCCAUGCACAAAUCGUGUUUUUGCAUCCGAUUCAUCGCGGAACACACGAAAAUAACGGACGACGCGACCAAAGUGAAAGAAGAUUGGAAGUAUGUCGCGAUGGUCUUGGACAGAUUAUUUUUGUGGAUAUUUACACUGGCCGUAUUCGCGGGCACGGCAGGUAUUAUCUUACAAGCGCCCACGUUGUACGAUGACCGGAUACCGAUCGACAAAAAAUUCAGCGAAUACCAAACGUCACCUAGCAUAAGGAAGAAACUGAAGAUAGGCCGUUAUUGAAAUAAACACAUAAAGAAAACGAGUUUUUUAUGAAUGAAAAGAAAAAUCCGAUUGGAGGCCGCCUUUGACUCGGAAAGAUAUACAUCGUACAGUGUGACGCAACGCGAAGGCACCUAAAAAACAACGAAAAACAAAAACAAAUUUCCAACGCCGGUGACGACAUUUUUUUUAGUUGCAGUUUCAGUUGCAGCGGUUGUUCAUAACGAUGAUAAUAUAUUAAUAAGUUAGCCAAAAAAAAAAAAAAAAUAAUGAUAUAAUUAUGUUUUUGUACGUUUAAAUUUUGUUGUAUAUUAAGUUUUGUUAUAAUACUGAUAACGAUCAUUUCAAUGAUGCCCAGUAACAGAGUAAUUUAUUACGCAAUAAUAAUAAUGAUAAUGCAGAGACACUGUACGCGUGUGCCCAAUAAUAAUAUAUUUAGGUAUUUUGCCUAUAUUAUUAUUAUAAAAACAAAAUGUAUUUGUAUAAUUAUUAUUAUUAUUAUUAUUAUUAUUAAUUAAUUAAUUGUCGUGGCGAAUAUUGUAACAUUAAUAUAGUGACCACUGACCACAAAACUAUAAUAUAUUAUUAUUAUACAGGUUAAAUUUUAUUUAACAGUGGAUUUUUUAAAAAAAAAACUAUCCACUAUUAUUAUGAUAACGAAAAAUGCCAUUUACUAACGAUAAUAUUUUUUACGUGUUUGUGUAUUUUUAUUAUUUAUAGUUGUACUGCGUUGUCAUUUGCGUUCAAAUGCAGAAAAAAAUAUAUAUAUUUAGAUAGGGUCAUGCGUAGAGUGCCUUAAACAUAAUAUUAAUAUAAUAUUCCGUAGCCUAUCGUAUUUACAUUCUAGUCGUAUAACUUAUCGUUUUACUUUUUUUGUAUACGGUCGGAUUUAAAGUUAUGAGUAUGUGUGUGCCUACGUGCUGUUUCAUUUGAACAAUAUUAUGUGUAUGGAAAAACUGCCAAAAAUUGUAUGACGGUAAAUAAUCGAUACAACUUAUAUAUUAAUAUUAUAUUAUAUAUUAUCGACAACAAUCGUAAACAUUUUGUUAUACGGAUAAUUUGUACGUACCUAUAACUGGGUUAAACGUAUUUUCUGUUAUUGUUUUUAAAAUAAUAAUGAAGAUGUAUAAUAUCACUGUUAUCCCAUUAAGCUGAUAAAAGUUAAUUUUUUUUUUACUUUUUUAAUUAUUAAAUUGUAAAAAAAAAUACUCAAUAUUUUCACUAACUAAAUCUCAAACCAUUAAUUUUAAUAUAAUCCAAAAAGAUUAGUCUAAAAAAUUAAUUGAACCUUUCGUAUAUUGAACAUCAGAAUCUUUUAUUGGUUACUAUUGUUCAACUUUUAUCGCUCAAUGAACCGAAAUUUAAAAUAUUGAUAUAUAUAUAAAAAACCUUUAUUGCACUCAAAUAAUUAUAUCGGUCAAAAUAUAUUUUAUACUCACGAUAAUUAUUUAUACGUUUAACUAAAGGCUUAAUUUGAAUAAAAAUUCAGAAAUGAUGAAGCGCCACCAUUGUUCAGGCAUUGUUGUAAAUAUUGUGAAUUUAAAGUCUUAUGUUAAUCAGCUGCGAUCGAAUUAACGGGGGAACCAAAUUUAGCAUUACAUAAUAUAGUCUUGUUAACUGCAGCUGCAGACGAUAAACAGAAAUUUAAAAAUUUGAACAUUAUUAUUGCUCAAUGACUUGAAUUCCGUUUUUUGUUUCUAGACUUUAAGAAAUAAUAAUAUUACGUUGAAGGAUAUUAAUUAGAAGACAUAAAUUACCAACUGUUUGAACAAAAAUCGUAGAUUAUAUGGAUUGAAUAAUGUUUACGUUUAGAUUUAAAAUAUAUGCCGUGGCGUUAAAUUUAUUAAGUAAAACUAUAGUUUUAUAGAACUAUAAUAAAAUAUAAUAUUAUUUUAAAUAUAUAGGAGUGAGGAUUCGCAUGACUUCACUCGUGUUGUUCUUGCUCGUGUGCUUAAUAAUUAUGAAAUAGAUUUAAACAUAAAAAAAUAUUCAAGAACAUGUACGUUAAUAAUGUUUUAAAUGUAAUGCGUGUGUAGGCAAAGUUGAAUUGAAAAAAAUAAUACCUAUGUUAAAUUUAUGUACAUUUUUUUUUUUUUGGUGGGGAGGGUGGGUUACAAUAGACUGUGAUGUAUUAUAAUAAUAACGUUUUUAGACUAAUAUCUGUUUAUGACUGUUUGUUAUAAUAAAUACAUAUAGAAGAAACGUAAUGAAUAUAAACAAAAUCUGAUUACAUAAUUAUAUAGAUACAUGAAUGCAAAAUAAUAAUAUAAUAUGUUGUAUUAUGUA